GAUGAACGCUGGCGGCGUGCCUAAUACAUGCAAGUCGAGCGAACGGACGAGAAGCUUGCUUCUCUGAUGUUAGCGGCGGACGGGUGAGUAACACGUGGAUAACCUACCUAUAACACUGGGAUAACUUCGGGAAACCGGAGCUAAUACCGGAUAAUAUUUUGAACCGCAUGGUUCAAAAGUGAAAGACGGUCUUGCUGUCACUUAUAGAUGGAUCCGCGCUGCAUUAGCUAGUUGGUAAGGUAACGGCUUACCAAGGCAACGAUGCAUAGCCGACCUGAGAGGGUGAUCGGCCACACUGGAACUGAGACAAGGUCCAGACUCCUACGGGAGGCAGAAGUAGGGAAUCUUCCGAAAUGGGCGAAAGCCUGACGGAGCAACGCCGCGUGAGUGAUGAAGGUCUUCGGAUCGUAAAACUCUGUUAUUAGGGAAGAACAUAUGUGUAAGUAACUGUGCACAUCUUGACGGUACCUAAUCAGAAAGCCACGGCUAACUACG
rnacentral:rRNA from 1 species